rnacentral:rRNA from 1 species
GACAGAGGGGGCAAGCGUUGCUCGGAAUUACUGGGCGUAAAGGGCGCGUAGGCGGGAUGGCAAGUCGGUCGUGAAAUCCUUCGGCCCAACCGAAGAACGUCGAUCGAUACUGCUGUUCUAGAGGAUUGCAGAGGAGACUGGAAUUCCCGGUGUAGCGGUGAAAUGUGUAGAGAUCGGGAGGAACACCGGUGGCGAAGGCGGGUCUCUGGACCGGUACUGACGCUGAGGCGCGAAAGCGUGGGUAGCAAACGGG